GAAAUUCUAUCUGGGAAAUUAGGAUCACUAUACUUUGCUUGCUGUUCCAGUAUGGAUAUAUAUACAAUAAGAGCUUCAGGUUCAUGCAAACUAUGGGAAGCAACAUGCUUCUUAAGUAAGCCUUCGGCUAAGAGUAAAAGUUUCUCUCCUCCAUUGCCACAAAACACCUGUAGCUGGAUACUACAAACAGCCCAGAGCAAAAACCUUUCUUCACCAACAAGCUUGUACAUUUUGAUGGCUGUCUGUUGCUGCUUGACGAAUGAAUAUUCUCGAACAUAACAGUUGAAAAGCCCCAUCAUUAAUUCCAAAUUAUUUGGAAAUUUACUACAAGCAUACUCAUAACAGCUAGUACCCAAUUCCAAGUGAUCAAGCCGUUGGAAAAC
rnacentral:misc_RNA from 1 species